rfam:Enterobacter cloacae S611 EDP2.NODE_1920, whole genome shotgun sequence.
GGCGCUUAAGGUGGCUCUGGGACGAAAGUACUGACGACAGGCCAGAAGCGGGAAGCCGUGGUAUUUAUGUGUGAUACGAUCGGUCUGUCGCAACGCCUUGCCUGCCGGCUUACAGGUU